rnacentral:tRNA from 1 species
CCCUGGAGGACUAGUGGUUAGGCCUCAGCGCUCUCACCGAUGCGGCCCGGGUUCGAUUCCUGGCCACUGGGG